UAAUUUGACUCAACGCGGGGAAUCUUACCGGGUCCGGACACACUGAGGAUUGACAGACAGUUGUCUUUCCCUCCCUUCGGGGUGGGAUUACAAAAGAUAACAGAUCUUUCAUGAUCAUGUGAUGGGUGGUGCAUGGCCGUUCUUAGUUCGUGGAGUGAUCUGUCUGCUUAAUUGCGUUUCAAAUUUUAUAUUUGUUAACAUGCGAGUCUUCAAUGACGGCCGCUCCACCUUAUAGACAUUAUAUGAUAUGCACAUUUGUGUAUUUGAUUAUAACUUGUCUGGAGUCUGGCUCGAUUUUUUUGACUCAAUUGAACGCAACGGACGUGAUUGCAAGUCCUUGUUGAACAAAUUAUAUAUAUACUACUUCAUCAUUAGUAUAUAUAGUUCGCUUCUCAUGUCGUAGCAGUCAAACGGGCGGGCGUCUUAAUUGGCGCGGUCACGAGGCUUAAUAUGCUGCGGCAGGGAAAACUUGGGCGACCGCUGUAAUACUUCUCUCUUAAACCAGAGGAAGAUUGCGGCAAUAACAGGUCUGUGAUG
rnacentral:rRNA from 1 species